UACAGAGGUCUCGAGCGUUGUUCGGAUUCAUUGGGCGUAAAGGGUCCGCAGGUGGCCCGGUCAGUCCGCUGUCAAAGCCUGGGGCUCAACCCUGGAAAGGCGGCGGAGACCACCGGGCUUGAGUCCGGUAGGGGCAGAGGGAAUUCCCGGUGGAGCGGUGAAAUGCGUAGAGAUCGGGAAGAACGCCAAGGGCGAAGGCACUCUGCUAGGCCUGAUUUCGCGACUGACACUCAGGGACGAGAGCCAGGGGAGCGAAUGGG
rnacentral:rRNA from 1 species